UCACAUUUCUGCAUUUAUUCCAAAGUUGAAGUAUUGAUGCCUAUGUUGCUAAGAUACUGAAUGCAGUCAAUACUACACCAGAAAAGAGCAAGGAUCAAAGAUCAAAAGUUCAACUAAAGUAGAUCGUUUACCAAAUCUUUAAAAAAAAAUACUACCUGCCUACGUCUAAUCGUUUGUCUAGCCGACUCUCUGUUUGCCAAUAUCCG
rnacentral:misc_RNA from 1 species